rnacentral:sRNA from 1 species
AAGAGGAUGAGAACCUCCGAAGGAGGUUUGAGCCGAGCGUAGCGAGACAACGUUGCUUCAGCAACGGCCCGCAGGGGAAUAAUCCUCUC